rnacentral:rRNA from 1 species
UUGCAGUUAAAAAGCUCGUAGUUGGAUUUCUGGGAGGGUGCCAAUGUCCGUCGUCGUACGUGAUGCAGCGGCGCCCUUCCAUCCUUCUGUUAACGACUUUGGGCAUUCACUUGCCGGAGUCGGGCUCAGAUAUUUUACCUUGAGAAAAUUAGAGUGUUUCAGGCAGGCUAGGCCGGAAUACAUUAGCAUGGAAUAAUGGAAUAGGACUACGGUCUCUUUGUUGGUUUGAGGGACUGCAGUAAUGAUUAAUAGGGAUAGUUGGGGGCAUUAGUAUUUAAUUGUCAGAGGUGGAAUUCUCGGAUUUGUUAAAGACUAACUUAUGCGAAAGCAUUUGCCAAGGAUGUUUUCAUUAAUCAAGAACGAAAGUUAGGGGAUCAAAGACGAUCAGAUACCGUCCUAGUCUUAACCAUAAACUAUGCCGACUCGGGAUCGGGGGCGCGAACUAUCCGCCUUCGGCACCGUAUGAAAAAUCAAAGUCUUUGGGUUCUGGGGGGAUAUGGU